GCUACGGCCAUACCAGCCUGGGUACGCCCGAUCUCGUCUGAUCUUGGAAGCUAAGCAGGGUCGGGCCUGGUUAGUACUUGGAUGGGAGACCGCCUGGGAAUACCAGGUGCUGUAAGCA
rnacentral:rRNA from 1 species